UACGAAGGGUGCGAGCGUUAAUCGGAAUUACUGGGCGUAAAGCGUGCGCAGGCGGUUUUGUAAGCCAGAUGUGAAAUCCCCGGGCUCAACCUGGGAAUGGCAUUUGGGACUGCAAGGCUGGAGUGCGGCAGAGGAGACUGGAAUUCCUGGUGUAGCAGUGAAAUGCGUAGAUAUCAGGAGGAAUACCGAUGGCGAAGGCAGGUCUCUGGGCUGACACUGACGCUCAUGCACGAAAGCGUGGGGAGCAAACAGG
rnacentral:rRNA from 1 species